AAAGUCAUAAACUUAACACUUUUUGUUGUACCAAAGUCCUCACUGAUUUUGUGCAUCAACAACGUUUUUCUUUCCCAUUUCUCAUCUACUUGGAUUAUUCAUUGCUUUCUGUUUGGUUGCUGAGAAAGUUCAAGGAAACCACAUAGAAAAUUUGAAAUUUCAACAAUAACAGGGAAAAACAAUUGGAAGUUAAUGGCUUGAGGUUCUGUGAAACAACUUUUUAUUGUCAUUGAUUAGUUGGUUACCAGAUUAGAUCAGUAGAGAUUCAUCUCGACAUUUUGGUUAUUAUGAUUACCAUUUUUCCUAAAUACAAGCCUAGCAACCCAGGCUAACCCAAUCCCAGUAAGC
rnacentral:lncRNA from 1 species